rnacentral:misc_RNA from 1 species
GAUGAAGAACGCAGCGAAAUGCGAUAAGUAGUGUGAAUUGCAGAAUUCAGUGAAUCAUCGAAUCUUUGAACGCACAUUGCGCCCUUUGGGAUUCCAAAGGGCAUGCCUGUUCGUGCGUCAUUUGUACCCUCAAGCUUUGCUUGGUGUUGGGCGUCUUGUCUCCAGUUCGCUGGAGACUCGCCUUAAAGUAAUUGGCAGCCGGCCUACUGGUUUCGGAGCGCAGCACAAGUCGCGCUCUCUUCCAGCCAAGGUCAGCAUCCACAAAGCCUUUUUUCAACUUUUGACCUCGGAUCAGGUAGGGAUACCCGCUGAACUUAAGCAUAUCAAUAAGCGGAGGA